AUUAUAUGUAAUUAUUAUGAUUAUAUUUAAUUAGUCACGUAAUUGUUAGUAUAUUUUGGUUGAGCUUGCUUGAUUAGAAUUGCUAAUAGUUUAAUGACAUCCUAAUUGAUUAGUUUCGAUCAUUUUUAUGAUUAGAGACGAUAAUUCAGGCUUAAACCCCUGAAUAAAAACCAAUGUUUAAUAUUUUUUAACAAAACUAUAUUCGAUUUAUUAAUUAAUUUUAAUUUUUUAA
rnacentral:misc_RNA from 1 species